rnacentral:rRNA from 1 species
CCUGGCUCAGAACGAACGCUGGCGGCAGGCCUAACACAUGCAAGUCGAACGUGAAGCCACCUGCGGGUGGUGGAAAGUGGCAGACGGGUGAGUAACGCGUGGGAACGUGCCUUUCGGUUCGGAAUAACCCAGGGAAACUUGGGCUAAUACCGGAUACGCCCUUCGGGGGAAAGAUUCAUCGCCGAAAGAUCGGCCCGCGUCGGAUUAGCUAGUUGGUAGGGUAAUGGCCUACCAAGGCGACGAUCCGUAGCUGGUCUGAGAGGAUGACCAGCCACACUGGGACUGAGACACGGCCCAGACUCCUACGGGAGGCAGCAGUGGGGAAUAUUGGACAAUGGGCGAAAGCCUGAUCCAGCCAUGCCGCGUGGGUGAAGAAGGCCCUAGGGUUGUAAACCCCUUUCAGCGGGGAAGAUAAUGACGGUACCCGCAGAAGAAGCCCCGGCUAACUCCGUGCCAGCAGCCGCGGUAAUACGGAGGGGGCUAGCGUUGUUCGGAAUUACUGGGCGUAAAGCGCGCGUAGGCGGAUCUGCAAGUCGGGGGUGAAAUCCCGAGGCUCAACCUCGGAACUGCCUUCGAUACUGCAGGUCUCGAGUCCGGGAGAGGUGAGUGGAAUUCCUAGUGUAGAGGUGAAAUUCGUAGAUAUUAGGAAGAACACCAGUGGCGAAGGCGGCUCACUGGCCCGGUACUGACGCUGAGGCGCGAAAGCGUGUGGAGCAAACAGGAUUAGAUACCCUGGUAGUCCACGCCGUAAACUAUGGGUGCUAGCCGUCGGUCGGCAUGCCGGUCGGUGGCGCAGCAGACGCAUUAAGCACCCCGCCUGGGGAGUACGGUCGCAAGAUUAAAACUCAGAGGAAUUGACGGGGGCCCGCACAAGCGGUGGAGCAUGUGGUUCAAUUCCAGGCAACGCGGAAGAACCUUACCAUCCCUUGACUUCCCGAUAGGGGCUCUGGAGACGGAGCUCUUCAAUUGGUCGGUGACA